rnacentral:lncRNA from 1 species
GAAAUUAGUAUUCUAAAUCCCGAUUUCUUUCCAGGCAUAUGAAAGAUAUUCUUCAACAAUUUAGGCCGAGCCCCUGCACACUGCAACUUUGAUGGUUCAGAAUCAGCGCGACUGUGAACAAUGUCAUCAUCACUAGCAUCAAAACCACCAACACUAGUAUCUCCAACCAGAAUGUUGGCACGUAUAAAGUGAUCUUCAAUCUGACUGAUAACAUCUGGUUCUUGAAGCAAAUCAUUAACAUAGGACUGCCAAUUAUUGC